UACGAAGGGUGCAAGCGUUACUCGGAAUUACUGGGCGUAAAGCGUGCGUAGGCGGUUUGUUAAGUCCGUUGUGAAAGCCCUGGGCUCAACCUGGGAAUUGCAGUGGAUACUGGCGAGCUAGAGUGCGGUAGAGGAUGGUGGAAUUCCCGGUGUAGCGGUGAAAUGCGUAGAGAUCGGGAGGAACACCCGUGGCGAAGGCGGCCAUCUGGACCAGCACUGACUCUGAGGCACGAAAGCGUGGGGAGCAAACAGG
rnacentral:rRNA from 1 species